GCUUUACCAAACCGAUUUUUCAUGAAUUGUAUCCACAGCAAAACACUGGAGCUGCCCUUCAACCAAUCCAUGAAAAAGCAAAUUACUGUUGCGCUGCUCCACUUUCCUCCAUUUGUGCUCCUUAUCUAGGUUAGGUGGCAGGGGAGGGGCGCUUCUCGCUUGCACACACUCGGGCAAACACACAGGUGUUGGUGGGCUUUGUUGCGUCCUGUCUUACUAUCCCAUUCACUUUCUGGUCUGUUCAACAUGCUGUUAAAGUCACACUCUAAAAUGACUACAUCUGGUUCGUAAACUGCCUUUGUAUGGGCAGGCAAUCGAGGAGAUGCCAACUUCAAACAACUGAGGCAUUUGGACGCAGGCCCGUGGUUCUGGGUCCUGGUCCUACAAGCCAGAAUUUAGGGCAUUUGGCUCAGGAUUCCGGUAAUAAAAGUCAGGAAGGAAUACGUGUGAACGGUAAUGAGUCAGAAAAACAUAGCAAACAGGCCCUGGAGAAGCCGGUUGGCGCAUUCUCUGUCAAAGAAAACAUACCAACAUCGUCCUUAACUUAGUGACGGAAUUACCUUAGGUGACUUGGGUGAGAAAGAUCUGCUGUUGAGCAGAACAAAGAAAAAAAGGUGUAGACCCCCCUCCCCAUCCCCUCGGAGAGCCCAGCCUCGGCAGGCUGAGCGAAAAUGAUGAGCCAUAUGCUCCUGCAUGUCCUCUCUGCUGCCAUGGAGAUGGAAGAGAGAGGGAGUGGUGUGUUUGUAGAGCAAGCAGCAUAUGAGGAACAAUGCAAUGGAAGAGAAAUUCUGAGAAACAGGCUCACUUGUUGUUGUACAAUUAAUUCUGAUUCUGAAAAUACCAUCAGUGUGAAUUUCGCAUGUGCUUAGGUUGAUGAUGACUGGGCUGACUUUGAUCCUGCAUGAUCACCUCUGGUGACUUUGUUUUUAGGCUGCUCAUCAGAGCCAUUACAUGUUGGCAAGCCAGUUUGUGAUCCUCGGUGGUGAAUAACACCGGUUAUAAAGUCCACUCAUCCCUCUCUCUGCUAACCUCACCCACUGCUUUCUCGUCGCCUGCCUCUGCCUCCCUCCUCUUCAUGAUUGUUUGAGGGCUGAAUUAUUGAUGGCCAGAGGAGAGAGGAUGAGAAAUCAGAGCAGAGCUAAUCGCUGAUGCCUCUCUGUCCAAACUAUAGGAAUGGUACAGUAGAGGUGUCGUCCAGUCCGGUCCAGUGUUCUGCAGGGCAGCAGCUGAUCGCUUUUUCCGCACCUGUUUGCUAUUUGAAUGCACGUGCACCUGAUGGAGCAUUUUCAAGAGCUGUACCCAAGCAUGACUGGGCAGAAGCACUUCUGCUUCGGCCUCCGUCUUUUCUCAGUUCCUUUUCCUCCGAAACAACUCGGGGCCAGGUCAGAUGCACACACUGCUCGCUGUGCCCAACAAGCAAGCAUUCAAAGGAAAUGCCUUCAAACACAACAAACAAUGAUUUCUUUCUCAAAACACCUAUUACAUUGACGUUUUCCUUGCAAAGCACAGAUACUUCUACAGUGUGAACAUACAUGUCCAUUGUUAGUGAGAUGAGAAAUUCAUUCUGCAGGGCAGAUAAUAACAAAACAAGGCAUGCCAUGUAGAAAUGCCCGUGUUGUGUUGUUCAGUAUUGUUGUUGCCGCCGCUGCAUAUGUUGACUAGCAUAAUGGUAUAGAUUACAUUACAGACGGAGCGGUGCGAUGGAAGUCGAGCGUAACACAAAUUGACAGAAAUAAGAGCCAUUAAGGGUAAAAGCAACUGGAGAAGUCAAGAGAAUAGAAAGAGGGAGGGGAGAGAAAUGGGAGAGAAGAAAGAGAGCUAACUGAGUGUACGGGAGCAUUACAUCAUUCCUGACCUCAUUAGGGCUUUUCUCUGUCCCACCACUACCCCCAACACUCACUCUGCUACUGCUAUAUAUCCUCCCUCCUCUGCUCUUUACAGUGAUCCGCGCUCUAUGGCUGUCUCUGCUCCUGCACAUGUGGAGAAGCUUCACUCUCCCACAUGCAUGAGAAACAAUCUUCUCAUGUGGCUUACAAUGUGUCAGUUUCGUCUUAAAAGCCUCUUCUGGUUUGAAAGAUCCCACCAAUGAUCUAAGCCCUCAGGGAUACCGUUUAAACGGAGCUGUUUAC